rnacentral:rRNA from 1 species
AGUCGACGGUGUCUUCGGACACAGUGGCGGACGGGUGAGUAACGCGUGAGAAUCUGGCUUUAGGUCUGGGACAACCACUGGAAACGGUGGCUAAUACCGGAUGUGCCGAAAGGUGAAAGGUUAACUGCCUGAAGAUGAGCUCGCGUCUGAUUAGCUAGUUGGUGUGGUAAGAGCGCACCAAGGCGACGAUCAGUAGCUGGUCUGAGAGGACGAUCAGCCACACUGGGACUGAGACACGGCCCAGACUCCUACGGGAGGCAGCAGUGGGGAAUUUUCCGCAAUGGGCGAAAGCCUGACGGAGCAAUACCGCGUGAGGGAGGAAGGCUCUUGGGUCGUAAACCUCUUUUCUCAGGGAAGAACACAAUGACGGUACCUGAGGAAUAGGCAUCGGCUAACUCCGUGCCAGCAGCCGCGGUAAUACGGAGGAUGCAAGCGUUAUCCGGAAUGAUUGGGCGUAAAGCGUCCGCAGGUGGCUAUGUAAGUCUGCUGUUAAAGAGUCUAGCUCAACUAGAUAAGAGCAGUGGAAACUACACGGCUAGAGUACGUUCGGGGCAGAGGGAAUUCCUGGUGUAGCGGUGAAAUGCGUAGAGAUCAGGAAGAACACCAGUGGCGAAGGCGCUCUGCUAGGCCGUAACUGACACUGAGGGACGAAAGCUAGGGGAGCGAAUGGGAUUAGAUACCCCAGUAGUCCUAGCCGUA